AUGAACACUCUGAACUAAUCCUAGCCCUAGCAACACAAAACACAACUAUUUUACUACCUAAACCAAAACAUUUAAUUUACUUAUAGUAUUGGAGAAAGAAAUAAACGAAUAUACCUAGGAGCCAUAGAGUAAGUACCGUAAGGAAAGAUGAAAGACUAAUUAAAAGUAAAAAAAAGUAAAGAUUAAACCUUGUACCUUUUGCAUAAUGCAUUAACUAGAAAACUUCUAACUAAAAGAAUUGUAGCUAGAAA
rnacentral:rRNA from 1 species